UGGGGAAUUUUGGACAAUGGGCGAAAGCCUGAUCCAGCAAUGCCGCGUGUGUGAAGAAGGCCUUCGGGUUGUAAAGCACUUUUGUCCGGAAAGAAAUCCUUGGCUCUAAUACAGUCGGGGGAUGACGGUACCGGAAGAAUAAGCACCGGCUAACUACGUGCCAGCAGCCGCGGUAAUACGUAGGGUGCAAGCGUUAAUCGGAAUUACUGGGCGUAAAGCGUGCGCAGGCGGUUUGCUAAGACCGAUGUGAAAUCCCCGGGCUCAACCUGGGAACUGCAUUGGUGACUGGCAGGCUAGAGUAUGGCAGAGGGGGGUAGAAUUCCACGUGUAGCAGUGAAAUGCGUAGAGAUGUGGAGGAAUACCGAUGGCGAAGGCAGCCCCCUGGGCCAAUACUGACGCUCAUGCACGAAAGCGUGGGGAGCAAACAGGAUUAGAUACCCUGGUAGUCCACGCCCUAAACGAUGUCAACUAGUUGUUGGGGAUUCAUUUCCUUAGUAACGUAGCUAACGCGUGAAGUUGACCGCCUGGGGAGUACGGUCGCAAGAUUAAAACUUAAUG
rnacentral:rRNA from 1 species